CGUCAUUUUCAUGCGUACUCUAACCAGAGCAACCCAGCUCAGAGAUGUCUGCUGCUGUAAACACAUUAUAAGAAACAGUUUAGCGUGUGCUACUCCACUGUAGGAAAUAUAACGAUGAGAGACGCCACCUUAUUCAAUCACUGAAGAAAGGAAAACAUCAUGACUUUACUUUAUCAGGUCUAUUAUCGAAAACAGCUACAAAUAUCCUGAUCCAUACUCCAUUCCAGUUGAUGGCGGUAAUGCACCAAUAAGUUGCACCAAUAAACACCAAAGAAGAAGAAGAUGAUGGAGUAAACACAUUAUUAUGAUUCCUAUUCGGCCUCAUUGAGGACAGUUAGAUUAUAUAAAUGACAGCGGAGUAUAGACAGACGAUAUUAUUAUUCGUAUGAUUAAAUAAGCAGUUAAUCUUCAUCAUCCAAUGCUGCAGUGAUGGAGGAAGAUGAAGAUCUGGAGACUCUGGGAGAGAAACUGUAUGAACUGAUAUAUCCUAAAUACACUGAGAUGACACCUAAACUUACAGGAAUGCUGUUGGAGUUGCCUGCUUCUGUUGUGUCUCAGAUGUUGUUUGAUGAAGCUCUGCUGAAUAAAGCUCUGGAAAGAGCACAGACUGCUCUCAUGUCACCUGACAACAGUGAACCCGUGUCUCACACUGAAGAUGCGGCAUCUGCGUCCUCCGACUCUCUGGGUGAACAGCUGUAUGACCUCAUUGACCUCUACAACACUGGACACACACAGAAAAUAACAGGCAUGUUAUUGGAGCAGAAGAAGGAGGCGGUGCUUCAGCUGCUGUCGGAUCAUUCGCUCCUCGAGGAACGAGUCAAGAUCGCCCUGAAAACCUUGCAGGAGCAGGGUGAAGAGGGGACAGACGUGAGUGACGGCUCUGACAGAGAGGAAGUGGAAUCCGUCGGAGAGACGCUUUUCAAUGUUGUGCAUCAGUUAGACCCCACCCACUGCGCUGACAUCACUGGGAUGCUGCUGGAAAUGGAUUCUGGAAUGCUGAGACAGAUUCUGUCCGACCGAAGCAUGCUGGAAGAUGCAGUUCAGAGAGCAAAAAGUGCACUGGAGGGCAAUCUAAGCCCAACACACUCAGAGAUGUCAGAAUGAAGCUGGGGGGGGUCUAAAUUAGUCUUUUAGGUCUAAAUUACUGUGCAUUUUACUUGUAUAAUUCAAGACAUUGUUUACAUGGACUUCCUUUUUAGGAUUUUUGACACUUUUAUUGAUAUGGAGGAAGAGAUUGUGAAGAAAGAAGGUGGAAUUCCAUCAGGCUGGAUUUGAACCUGCUUUACCUGCACGAGCACCUCAGCUAAAUGCGUCUAGAGCAUGUGCAUUAACCACUAGAUACUUCAGAAGAAAUCAAUACUUUUGUUCAGCAAGGAUGCAUUAAACUGAUCAAAGGUGACAGUAAAGGCAUUAAUAAUGAUAUAAAAGAUUGUUUUACUUUCUAUUCAUGUCAUCAUAUGACGCUAAAUAAUAAUGAAGCUGAAAAUUCAGUUUUGAUGACAGGAUUAAGUUACAUUUUACAAUACAUUCAAAUAGAAAACAUUUUAAAUUGCAAUAAUAUUUCAUAAUAUUACAGUUUUUACUGUAUUUUUGAUUAAAUAAAUGCAGCCUUGGUGAGCAUGAGGAAAGUUUGAAAAAUCUCACCAACCC